GAACACAAAAUGGCGACACGUGGUUAGCAUUCGUCGCCAACGAGAAAUUGGGGUCGGCCCGAAAGCUCUAGAAUGCACCCCUAUUCCUCCCCGGGGCCAUUCCCGCUCAACGAGUUUUAUGACCUAAAAAACCCCACAGGCUGGUCUGAAGAGGAAGACACUUAAAGAUGAAGUGCUUAAUUCAAGGUCACAGAAUGUCGGGGAUGGACCUCCAGAUUUCCUUACUGACCUGCAUUAUCUUGUGGAUACCUGAGUGAAUUCCACACCACCCAUUUUAUAGAUGAAGCCACUGAGACGUGGAGCAACUGACUGAGUAGUCACUGCCCCACCCCUGCCUGGAGCCUCACACAUGACUUCUCUUAGUGACCACAGGUGAGACGUGGUCUUGUAACACAGUGGUUAAGAAUGUGACUUUGGAGCCAGCCUGCUAGGGGCUGAAUUCUGACUCAGCCAUUUAUUAACUGUGUGACCUUAGAUGGAGUCUCACUCUGUAGCCCAAGCUGGAGUGGCGUGAUCUCGACUCACUGCAACCUCCGCCUCCUGGGCUCAAGUGAUUCUCGUGCCUCAGCCUCCUGAGUAGCUGGGACUACAGGUCAUAGAAUUUUCCACACUCCUUGACGGAGGGGACCAGAUGUGCAGAGGUAAUGAAUACCAGGGAAUCAGGAAACCACUGGAUCAGUUCUUUGAGCCAUAGAACAACACUCAUCCCAGCAGCUGGGAAGCUAUCUGCAAAAGUCCAUCUGCAGAAAGGGCUUCCUGGUCUUGCGUGUGGCUGGGCCAUUUCUCUGGAUGCAGGUUUUUCAUUAU
rnacentral:antisense_RNA from 1 species